GCGAGCGGGCGAAGCGCUACCUGCUAGCAACUGUGGUCCACCGCACUUGUCAACCGCCAUAAGCCAUGCUCCGCCUGUGCGUCGUCGUGAUGUCCGCUCUGCUGGCGCUGCUCUGCGCCGUGGCGGCCGUGGCGGCCGUGCCUCACGGCCAAGGUGGCCCUCCAGUCGUCGGCGCCGACCCUUGCACCUGGGGGCCGGCACACUGGUGCGCCAACCACCAGAACGCCCAGGCCUGCAAGAUGACGUCAUGGUGCCUAGAGAAGAAGCUGCUGCACUGAGCGACACCGAGCACGCCGAGGAACGGAAGCGGAGCGUUGGCCGUCAACCGGAUGCCACGAAAAACCAGUCUGCGUAAUAAAGACCCAGCCGAAAAUCCCGGUUACGGUCCGAGUACGGUUACGACCGGGAUACGAUUCCGGCCGGAAUACGAUUACGACCGUAAUUUCGGACAUUUCCGGUUACGACUACGAUCGUAACCAGGAAGGGUUUACGACCGUAACUGACCAUUCCGGUCGGAGUACAAAGUGUCACAAGACAUCAAGUUUGUCUUCUGUGGUGCUCCGUCAAGCAGGGAUCCGCGUUGUAUAUGCAUGAACACAGGGUAAACUUUGCGAGCUACGCCCAAUUUUGACUUCAGAAAUUUAUUAUAAGUUACCGUUCACAAGUUAUGGAGUGUUUCUGAAAAUUCGCUGGAGACUUAAACGCAUGGGACAUGCUUCUUCGAGUCCGGCCUCGGACCCGGAUCUGGUCCGAUCGUAACCGGAAUGGGUCCGGUCGUAACCGGAACGAGUCCGGUCGUAACCGGAACGAGUCCGAUCGUAACCGGGACGUGACCGACCGUAACCGUAAAUUAGGUCCGGUUUCCGAUCGCAACCGGAAAAUUUGGGGCGAUUUACGAUCGUAAGCGGAGAUUUUCUCCGGAACCGUAACCGGGAUUUUCGGCUGGGGACCGCUUUCCUCGAG